rnacentral:rRNA from 1 species
UACAGAGGUGGCAAGCGUUGUCCGGAAUUACUGGGCGUAAAGAGCUCGUAGGUGGUUUGUCGCGUUGUUCGUGAAAACUCACAGCUCAACUGUGGGCGUGCGGGCGAUACGGGCAGACUGGAGUACUGCAGGGGAGACUGGAAUUCCUGGUGUAGCGGUGGAAUGCGCAGAUAUCAGGAGGAACACCGGUGGCGAAUGCGGGUCUCUGGGCAGUAACUGACGCUGAGGAGCGAAAGCGUGGGGAGCGAACAGG